UGAUGUUGUUGUUGUUGGUGGUGGUGGUAGUGGUGGUUAUGAUGAUGAUGAUUAUCAUCAUCAUUCUCAUCAUCAUCAUCAUCAUCAUCAUCAUAU
rnacentral:pre_miRNA from 1 species